UCAGGCCUAACACAUGCAAGUCGAACGGUCUCUUCGGAGAUAGUGGCGGACGGGUGAGUAACGCGUGAGAAUCUAGCUUCAGGUCGGGGAUAACAGUUGGAAACGACUGCUAAUACCGGAUAUGCCGGAAGGUGAAAGGCUUGCUGCCUGAAGAUGAGCUCGCGUCUGAUUAGCUAGUUGGUGGUGUAAGGGACUACCAAGGCGACGAUCAGUAGCUGGUCUGAGAGGAUGAUCAGCCACACUGGGACUGAGACACGGCCCAGACUCCUACGGGAGGCAGCAGUGGGGAAUUU
rnacentral:rRNA from 1 species